GAGCAACAGUUCUGCGUGAAGCGGGUCAGGGGAGGAAUCCAGCAGCCCUAAGCGAUUUGAAUUGUGUGCUCUUUUUUUCGUGCUUUUUCCGAAUAAAUAAGAUAGAAUAAUCUAGAAUAAAUGAUAAUAGAAAAGAGAAGAUGAUGAAAAUUCGUGGUUUUGAAUUGGUUUCGAGUUUUACAG
rnacentral:misc_RNA from 1 species